GGUAUUUUGACCGUGCAAAGGUAGCAUAAUCAUUAGUUUUUUAAUUGAAAGCUGGAAUGAAAGGUUGGAUGAAAAAUAAGCUGUCUCUAUUUAAUUUUGUUAAAAUUUUAUUUUUAAGUUAAAAAGCUUAAAUUUUAAUAGAAGACGAGAAGACCCUAUAGAGUUUUAUUUAUUUUUUAAAUAAAAUUAAUAGUAUCAAUUAUUUUUAUUUUAAAUAUAAAUUUAGUUGGGGUGAUUAAAAAAUUUGAUAAACUUUUUUUGUAUAUAAACAUUAAUUUAUGAUUGAUUGAUCCUUAGUUAAAGAUUAAAAGAUAAAAUUACCUUAGGGAUAACAGCGUAAUUUUUUUUGAGAGUUCAAAUCGAAAAAAAAGAUUGCGACCUCGAUGUUGGAUUAAAAUAAAAUUUUGGUGUAGAAGCUAAAA
rnacentral:rRNA from 1 species